rnacentral:rRNA from 1 species
GACGAACGCUGGUGGCGGGCCUAAUACAUGCAAGUCGAGCGAAGCGGCGGAUGGGUGAGUAACGCGUGGGUAACCUGCCCUUACGUCUGAGAUACCAUUUGGAAACAGAUGCUAAUACCAGAUACUAAACGAUGGACCUGCGAUGCCUUAGCUAGUUGGUACGUUAACGGCGUACCAAGGCGAUAAUGAAUAUCAGAAUUGAGAAACUCAUCGGCCACAUUGGGACUGAGACACGGACCACACUAAUACGGUAGGUAGCGGUAUGGAAUCUUCGCCAAUUGAGGAAAGUCUGAUGGAGCAACACCACGUGAGUGAAGAAGGCUUUCGGAUCGUAAGUCUCUGUUAUUGGUGAAGCGGUAAUCAACCAGAACGUCACGGCUAACUACGUGCCAGCAGCCGCGGUAAUAC